UAGUUGAAUGGAAGAGAGGUUGAGUAAUAACAACUGUGACACGCAUUUGUUUUUACAGAAGAAGUUGUGGUCUCUGAUCUUGUAUAUGUGAAUUUGGGAGAUGAAGUUGAUAAUUCGAGCUAACAUGUGGUGUACACAUCUGAAUAACAUUUAGUUGAAUUUUGUAGAAGACAAUGGGAUCAAGAUUGUGAGAGGCAAGCAAUGUUUCUCGAAGAAUUGUUUCUGAAACUUACCAUCGUUUCUUAAACAGCUGGGCCAACAUGGGAGUUAUCAGGUUGAAUGAACAAUUUGCCAUGGUUAUUGAGAUAACUAGCGUCCACGCAAAGGGGAAAAGAUAAUUCCCUUCAGCUCACUCACAAUGGACACACUACAUUACACGACCCCAAAGGAGAGAAAUGGACUGGACUAGACUCAAAAGUAACACGACAACACUGAUGACAUGAACCAACUCAGACUAGACUGACGACGCGACACCAACUCUGUUCCUCCUCCAGCGUCAUUUUCCUCGGCAAAAUUUUAUAUGAGAAAAGGGGAAAACAUGACUUCGUCAAGGGACAAGUAGCAAUAAAGAUGGUGCAAGAGAUCCAUGGCGCCUAAGAAUUGACGCCUACAAUAACAAGGGAGAAAAUAUGACAUCUCUUUUCUUCAAACUUGUAGCUUUAUCCCAUUCUUGUGAUAGCUUCCAGUGUUGCCCUUAGAACAAGACUGUUCUUGGUUGAUCUUUUGUAGUAUUUAUUCUCAGCCUUUGUUGACUUGCCAAUCUGCUCGUACCUGAAUGUUGGAGACAGAAAAUUGUCACUAUAUAGUUUCGGACUCCUCGUAAUUACACCCACUGAACUCAAAGAAAACAAGAAGCUGGGUUCUCAACACUUAGUUAUUAGUAGCAGUUGAAAUUUUCCAGCAGCAACAAGUAUCGAUACAAAGCCAAUUCGAAUGUACAUAUAAAGAAGCUCUUCCGGAAAUCACCUGUUUCUGCCAUCGGCUGCCAAUGGAUGGCGGAUAUACCCUCCCUCCGGCUGCCCGGUAGAGCUGGACUGACCCAUCCUUGCUACAGCCUCUCUCUCUCUCUCUAGGUUGUGUUGAUGUAGCUCUGCUUGCUAGUUGGCUAUUUACUUGAUGUAGAGAUGUUGCUGGUU